rnacentral:rRNA from 1 species
UACGUAGGUGGCAAGCGUUAUCCGGAAUCAUUGGGCGUAAGGGGUGCGUAGGCGGCUUCUUAAGUUUGUAGUGAAAUCGUAGAGCUCAACUCUAUUAAGCUACAAAAACUGGGUGGCUAGAGUGCGGUAGAGGCAAGUGGAAUUCCAUGUGUAGCGGUAAAAUGUGUAGAUAUAUGGAGGAACACCGGUGGCGAAGGCGGCUUGCUGGGCCGUAACUGACGCUGAGGCACGAAAGCGUGGGGAGCAAAUA